rnacentral:rRNA from 1 species
UACGUAGGGUGCGAGCGUUGUCCGGAAUUAUUGGGCGUAAAGGGCUCGUAGGCGGCCUGUCGCGUCGGGAGUGAAAGCCCACUGCUUAACGGUGGGUCUGCUUCCGGUACGGGCGGGCUAGAGUAUGGCAGGGGAGACUGGAAUUCCUGGUGUAGCGGUGGAAUGCGCAGAUAUCAGGAGGAACACCGGUGGCGAAGGCGGGUCUCUGGGCCAUUACUGACGCUGAGGAGCGAAAGCGUGGGGAGCGAACAGG